rnacentral:rRNA from 1 species
UGAAAUCAAGUGUGACGACCCCCUGAAUUUAAG